ensembl:misc_RNA Metazoa_SRP Metazoan signal recognition particle RNA
GCCAGGCAUGGUGGCUCAUGCCUGUAAUCCCAGAACUUUGGGAGGCUGAGGCGGGAGGAUCACCUGAGGUCAGGAGUUUGAGACUAGCCUGGCCAACAUGGUGAAACCCCGUUUCUA